rnacentral:rRNA from 1 species
CAUGUCUUUUUGUUAAUAAUUUAAAGUCUAACCUGCCCACUGAAAAUUUUUGAAGGGCCGCAGUAUAUUGACUGUGCAAAGGUAGCAUAAUCACUUGCCUUUUAAUUGGAGGCUAGAAUGAAUGGUUGGACGAGGUUUAAUCUGUCUCUUUUUAAGAAUUUUAAAAACUUAGCUUUUCAGUCAAAAGGCUGAAAUUUUUUUGGAGGACGAGAAGACCCUAUAGAUCUUUAUAUUUUUAUAAGAAAAAAUUUUUAGUUUGAUAAAUAUUUUUAUUAAUACAAAUAUUUUGUUGGGGUGACAUUAAGAUUUAUAAAACUCUUAUAUAUUUAUUACAUUAAUUUAUGGCUAUUUGAUCCAUUCUUAUUGAUUAUUAGAAUAAGUUACCUUAGGGAUAACAGCGUAAUUUUAUUAGAGAGUUCUUAUUGACAAUAAAGUUUGCGACCUC